UAUUUUUACCAUUUGAUUACCCAAGGAGACUCCUGGCCAGCAUUUUGAGGGCCUGAACCUGUUAACUGCUCUUCUGGCACCAAGAAAAUCCAGGAUGGCAAAACCACUUGUGGAAGAAAUAGGUGCUUCUGAGGUUCCUGAGGAAGGGGUAGAAGAUGACGAUGAAGAGUUUGACUGGGAAAUUGAAGAGUCCACCUAUGAAGAGGUAUCCAAAAGUGCUUUGAAUCCACAGUGCUGCUGUGGAUUUGGAAACUUGUGAUCAGGAGUGUUUCAGUGGUUGCAGCUGAGGAAGACUGGCCCUGGGCUAACAUCCGUGCCUGUCUUCCUCCACUUUAUAUGGGAUGCCGCCACAGCAUGGCUUGCCAAGCAGUGCCUCGGUGCGCGCCCAGGAUGCGAGCUGGCAAACCCCGGGCUGCGGCAGCGGAGCGCGCACACUUAACCACUUGCGCCACCGGGCCUGCCCUCAGAUAUCUUCUCUUAAAUGAAUAAUUUAACCCUUUUUAAGGGGGUAUAGUCUUUCAUUUUUUUUCCCCUCCAACUGUUCACAUAGGGUUUGCUUGUGAACCUCAGAAUAUUUUAGCUGAAAUAAAUUCUCUUUCAACACCACACCCACACACCCACCCACCCACCCACACACCCACACACACCUGACUUUCCUUCCUUCCCGAAAUUGCUACCAGCCACCAGGGCGCCUUUGGAAACCUGCCCUGGCUGCUGAAAGUCAGGGCUUCACAGCAAGCUUCUGGCAGAGGCGGCUGCCACUAGCAAGCAUCCUAGAGUCUGUGGGCACCAACCCAGCAGGCUCCCGGGACCACUGCUGCCGGCAGCCGCAGGACUUGGCUUGCUGGCCUUUCCUUCCCUCAGCUGCACUGGGCGCCUGAGGCUGUUGUUUCCAGCAGACCCACUGGCCAGAUGUGC